AAAGGCUGACAUUCCAGUUGGUAAGGGGGAGCUUCUCCUGCCCAACUGUCUCCUGCUGAAGGCCUUGGCCUUUUCUUGCCUCAGACUCAAACUGAAACCCAAGACUCUUCCUGGACUUCAGGCCUUUGUAUUCAGAUGGGAAUUAAACCACUGGCUCUCCUAGGUCUUAAAGCUUCCUGCCUGCAGAUCUUCGGACUCAGACUGCAUAAUCAUGUCUCAGGUUGGCCCAGCAGCUAAGAACGUGCUUCCCCUGACUCUGCUGAACCGAUCUGGCUGCAUUACCCAUCUCCUGGGUCUUUCUCCGGAGCAGCUCUCUCGGGAGCUGUAGCCCUCACUCUGCCCAGGAUGCGCUCUCCUGUGACAAGGAUACAACAUGUACCAGUCAGUGUUGCUGGGAGAAGAGCAUGAAGCAUCUGGAACAAUGCAUGGUACAUACGAGGUAAUUAGCAAAUGGCUGGGAUCCCAUAGAAGUUAAUGUUAGACUAUAGAGAAACUGCUUUGACACUUUGGUAACAACAUUAACACUGAUGACUACAAGUAGAGUACUGAGUGUCCCUCCAUUGCACUAAGUGCCUGAGGCUGAUUUUUCUAAGAACAGCUUCGCCAACUCUCUGUGGAUUACUGUCAUUCUCCUUCUUUGACAAAUGAAGAAACUGAAGCUUUGGACACCAAACAAUCUCUCAAGAGACAAGCAACUGGCCUCUCACCUACCCCAGGUCAGACUCCCUUGUUCUUACUAUAAAACUUAAUCAUAAAUUUAGAAAGACCUGAAAGUCUACAGCAAGUUUCAGAUACUUAACAGUGGAUUCAUCACCUGAGAACUCCAAUCUUGCACUCUGAAAGCCGGAACACCUUCUUCCUACAUAAAAAUCACAUGUAGCCAUAAGAAAAGAGAAUCUGCCUGUUAAAAUGCCACCACAAAUCUACUUUGCAUGAACAUAUUUUUAUCAUCAUGGAGAUUGGUCACCAGCUUAGACUUGAAAAUAGGUGAUUUGUUUGAACUUGUCACUAUACAAAACCCAACUGGUGUCUACUACACAGCUGGCUUUGGGCAAGGCUUUUGUUUGCUGAGAGAAAAGCAAAGAUUUAGACAUGGUGGCUAUUCCUGUUCAACUGUCUGCCUCUUUGCCAGGCUUGAGCUCUCUGAGAUGCCAAGGAAUCUGGACCUUCCAGAAGAGGUGGGGGUGGAGAGACGCCAUGGUAGGGGAGGCUGUUCUCUUUAGUUUAUACUUUUAUCUUCUCCCAGAAGUAUUUUCCAAUUCCAAGCAGUCUAAAGGGCUGCAAAACAUAUAUGUAAAGGGGAAAGUUUUUUUUUCUAUUUUUCUUCAUUUUAUCCACCAAAUAUGAAAAAGAAGGGAAAAGUAGGAUGUGACACAGAUAAGGGCAAGCCACACAAAAAAAUUAGAAAAUGUGUAGGAGAUCUUUGUCUUAGUUUUGAGAAAGCAGGUGGAAUCCCUCAUAUAAAUUACGGAGUGAUUUCUUAAAAUAAUAUUCUUAAUAAAAGCAGCUGAAGACACUGAAAAUUAAGUAAAAUAAUAGCACCUAACUUCCAUCGGGGGCUUCCUCUGAGCUAUUUCUCCCAAUAAUGCCAGGAGAUGGAUGCAUGAGCAUGGGUAUGGCGCAGAACAAACCCAGAGGCGCUUGGCUGUACGGAUGGGCACCAUACCGCAAGGCUGCUCAGGCAAUCCCUACCUGCAUUCUUGGCCGAGCUGCUGAACGACAGCUUGCUUCUUAACCUACAUAAUCUUGAAAAACACGAAUAAAUAACCAUACAGACAAAAAAUAUAUAUAACUAUUGGUACCAUCUGGGGAGAGAAAGUGAAAUAUGGAUUUUAUAAGGUCUCAAAUUUUCCUUUUGAAUGUUCUUUCCAAGUUCUGUCAUAAAGAAACAAAUUACCAAAAAGAAAAAAAAGGACAAAAUAGGAAAAUCAUGUGGAUGCUCAAGCUCAAUCAACCUCUGUCAAAUAUUUAGAAAGCUGAAACAGCCCCAUCCUUAGCCCACAGCAAGACUAUAAAUGGAGGUUGACACACAGUAUGUCUAAAUAUUUAAGUUCUAUAUUAAGCAAAUGCAUUGUUUAAUGAAACCUAUCUUUCUAACUUGAAAACACAGCUUAAAUUGCUUUAUUGAUAUUUUGAAAAUUUUAUUGACUCAUUAAAUCUUCAUAAUUAUUAUAAAAACAAACUAUUUAUAAAUCUAGUAUCUUGUGUCCAUCUAGCUGUCCAGGUACGUGUCCUGCCUCACAUAUGUCAUACCCGCACUUGCAUGUACAUUUUUAAGAAUGACAUGAACUGUGUUAGUUUGCAAAAUGCUAGUUAGUGUGUUUUGAAUACCACACUAGACUGUUAAUAUCUUUCAAACCACAAGUUGGGAGCAUGAAGGGAAUCAAGAAAAUGGAUGCUCACAAGUAGAGAACAAACAUUUUAUCAAUGCAAAAAUCUACUGCAUGCAUCUUUCGAUGGACACCGAGGCUCCUUCCACCAUUUGGCUACUGUGGACAUUGCUGCUAUAAACACUAGGGUGCAGGUGUCUCGAUUCUUCACUUUAUCUGUAUC